UACGGAGGGGGCUAGCGUUGUUCGGAAUUACUGGGCGUAAAGGGCGCGUAGGCGGCGCCUCUAGUCGGACGUGAAAGGCCUGGGCUCAACCCGGGAACUGCGUUCGAGACUGGGGUGCUUGAGUACGGGAGAGGUGAGCGGAAUUCCCAGUGUAGAGGUGAAAUUCGUAGAUAUUGGGAAGAACACCGGUGGCGAAGGCGGCUCACUGGACCGUGACUGACGCUGAGGCGCGAAAGCGUGGGGAGCAAACAGG
rnacentral:rRNA from 1 species